UGAAUUGACCUUUCUCGGCUACCGUACACUUCCGCUUCAGUGAGCAGGUAGCUUCAGGUUGCUACCUUUUGGGCUUUCGAGUGAGUCAUGUCAACUUUUUCCAAGCUCUUAUACUUGCUGUAUGUAUGUAAAUGCGUACAUGUAAACAAUGACAUGAAAGGAGAAUCAUUGUUAGUCGUUAGGUCAGUGGAAACUCGCUAGCUCUCGUGAAACAAGAGGUGGAGCGUUAGCUAGCACGCCCACAAGCAGCACUCGCUCGGCUGUCAAUCGAUGGAUUAUCAACGAAAGCGUUCGACUUCAAUGUUGUUUUUCUGUUUUGCCACGUCCAAACUUGAAGACUGGAGGCUCCACGUCGGCUGCUGGUCGUCCAUCUAUCUGCAUAUCUCGAAAGAUAAAACAGUCAAUCACAACAAAGUAACAAGUUGAGUGGUCGGCCAGUGGGACGAGUGGUCGGCCAGUGGGACGAGUGGUCGGCCAGUGGGACGAGUGGUCGGCCAGUGGGACGAGUGGUCGGCCAGUGGGACGAGUGGUCGGCCAGUGGGACGAGUGGUCGGCCAGUGGGACGAGUGGUCGGCCAGUGGGACGAGUGGUCGGCCAGUGGGACGAGUGGUCGGCCAGUGGGACGAGUGGUAGGCCAGUGGGACGAGUGGUAGGCCAGUGGGACGAGUGGUAGGCCAGUGGGACGAGUGGUAGGCCAGUGGGACGAGUGGUAGGCCAGUGGGACGAGUGGUAGGCCAGUGGGACGAGUGGUAGGCCAGUGGGACGAGUGGUACUCCAUGCCUGGACCUGAGACAAAAAAAGAUCGUUGCCUUAGAGCUGAGGCAGCAACAAGAAGGCUAAAGUGUUGCUGGUAUGCGGCUUUGUGCUAGUCCUCAGCUUCCGCUACAAGCAGCAGAGGGCUCUUCAGGCAGCAUAGACCCAGGUGAACGAGCUCACAGAGGCUGAAGACAACUGGCAGGCUUUUCACUUUUUGGACCUGGAUUCGCCACCUCUGCCUGGAAAGAAAAAAGGAACAACAAAGAUCAUUUGAGUUUCCUGCUUUUAUUUUUUACUGUAGAGUGGAAGCAGCCAGUCGCUGGUGCACAAGCAGAGUUCCUGAAAUGUUGUAAAAAUUCUCCAGGACUGAUACCUGCACACAACAUAAACCAAUCAAGCUGCCAUUCAGUACAUUUUAUUUGUGUGUUUACUUGGGAAAUGGAGACAACUUUGAGGUACCUCUGCAUGGUUUUGGAGGGCUUUUAUCUUUGGCCAGCAGGUGGCAGAUGUUCCAACUGCAUCCUUACUGGAAACUGCUCUGCAGGAAGAGGGAGGCAUAAAAAUAAAGCGGGUAAGUGCUUUUAAACAAUGCCAAGUUUAUAGUAACCUGGACAAGAGGUUGACGAUUCUACAGGUUAAAACCAUGUAGAUCUUCACCAUGCGACAGAAACUAAAUCCUUUGGUCCCACCUGGUGGACAAAAAGAGGAAGAACAUGCUGAAAUGUUUGACGUGUCAAACGUUUGGACGCGUGCGAGUUUCACCAGUGAUAAAUGGAGGGCAGGGCCGGACGUCUCUUCAACCACAACUCGCUGGUCUGAAAGACACGAUGCAGGCCUGUGGACAGAAAUUAGAAGACAUUUAAAAGCAGUUGAUUGAAUGAGUCGACUUUAAAACUCACAGAAAGUCAGUCGGCCAUGACGGGCUCGUUUUGAGGGUUUGCACCUGCAGACAGAAAGUAGAAGAUUAACACGAAUGCAUCGAAAUACCUGUUUCAGUAAUUCUCUGGUGGAUUCAUGCAAACGCUGCUUUGUCUACUUACCUUCGGCCAAACGGCGCUGUCGUCCAGACCUUGCUAAAUGUUUGUGCAAAAAUUGUGUUAGUCAUCUUGCUUGCCUUGGUUUUCAAAAUGUGCAUGUACUUACCCACCGUUAAAUGCUUCAAAUGUUUGGUUGCACGCCGGAUAAAUGCGUUUUGGUGGUCGUUGGAGAUGUUAACGGCUAACGCUAGCUUCUGCAAACUUUUGAGCUUGCAAGAUGGAAGCACGCCGAAAGUGCAACUAGACGCUGAAAGAGAGCAAAAGCAGUUAGUUUCAAAAGGUU